rnacentral:rRNA from 1 species
CAGCCGCCGCGGUAAUACGUAGGUGGCAAGCGUUGUCCGGAAUUAUUGGGCGUAAAGCGCGCGCAGGCGGAUCAGUUAGUCUGUCUUAAAAGUUCGGGGCUUAACCCCGUGAUGGGAUGGAAACUGCUGAUCUAGAGUAUCGGAGAGGAAAGUGGAAUUCCUAGUGUAGCGGUGAAAUGCGUAGAUAUUAGGAAGAACACCAGUGGCGAAGGCGUCUUUCUGGACGAAAACUGACGCUGAGGCGCGAAAGCCAGGGGAGCGAACGGGAUUAGAUACCCGAGUAGUCCCUGUCUCUUAUACA